rnacentral:rRNA from 1 species
CAGUAGCCGCGGUAAUACGAAGGGGGCUAGCGUUGCUCGGAAUUACUGGGCGUAAAGGGAGCGUAGGCGGACAUUUAAGUCAGGGGUGAAAUCCCAGAGCUCAACUCUGGAACUGCCUUUGAUACUGGGUGUCUUGAGUGUGAUAGAGGUAUGUGGAACUCCGAGUGUAGAGGUGAAAUUCGUAGAUAUUCGGAAGAACACCAGUGGCGAAGGCGACAUACUGGAUCAUUACUGACGCUGAGGCUCGAAAGCGUGGGGAGCAAACAGGAUUAGAUACCUCAGUAGUCCCUGUCUCUUAUAC